UGAAGUCGGAAUUGCUGUAAUGGCAGGUCAGCAUACUGCCGUGAAUACGUUCCCGGGCCUUGUACACACCGCCCGUCACACCAUGAGAGUUGGAGAUACCCGAAGCCUAUGAGCUAACUUUUAGAGGCAGUAGUCGAAGGUAGAAUCAAUGAUUGGGGUGAAGUCGUAACAAGGUACC
rnacentral:rRNA from 1 species